rnacentral:ncRNA from 1 species
AUACUGAUGUGGUAGGGAAUAAUGUGCAAUUCAUUAACUGUUCCUGCAACGGUAAAAACUAAAGUUUAAGUCCGAGCGCUACCCAGUAUAGUCCCCUGUCGAAUGAUGGCCAGGAAAAGUCUAGUUCUGCAAUGCAAAA